AUGUGCAGCCUGCCCGGGGUUAUCCUGCUCCUCCUGACAGGAGCCGCCUCUGCGGAGGAGCCGCGGAUCUGGCAGAGCCCAGUGCAGCUCUGGCUGCCCCCCGGGGCGACGGUGGAGCUGAGCUGCAACAUCUCGGGCAGCCCAUGGGACGCCAAUUGGUACAGGGAGAAGCCGGACGGCAGCUUGGAAUGGAUUUACCAGAGCACAGAGUCCUCGAAACCAAAGGGGAGAUACUCAGGGACGGUGAGAGCACCGGGAUUUUUCUCCUUUAGUAUCAGCAAUGUGCAGCGUGAGGACUCUGGGUCUUAUUACUGCACCUCCUCCGUGUUGCACUCCCACUUCGGGGACGGGACCAGGCUCCUCGUCACAGAUGCCACGGAGCCCAAGCUCUCCAUCCUGGUGCCCGUGGACGCGGAGGAGCCCUCGGACGUUGUCCCCCUGCUGUGCCACCUCCACGACCUCCCCAGGGGCUGGGACACCGUCCGCUGGCACCACGGCAGGGACACCCCGGUGACGGCUGAGGCCGUGGACGAGCGCGGGGUCCUCGGCGCCUGGAGCCUCACCUGGGUCUCGGCCGAGCGCUGGGACGGGGCCGCGGCGU